rnacentral:lncRNA from 1 species
AAAACUCAGCUCAUUGUGCUGUCCUGGGUCACCUCGGCAGUCACUUCGCCUCUCAGACCUCAGGUUCCUUGUCUAUAAGCUGAGACAACUUCCCCAGUGUACAUGAUCGUGCUGGGAUGAAGAUCACAGUUAAGGUCACAGGUGAGCAUGUUCUUGUGUGGCUGGCUACAUGGGACCCGUCUUACUGGGACAUCAUAAUUUAUCAGACAUCUCCUAGCAUUGGACAUUCAAGCUGCUUCCUGUUUUUUUGUUAUUAUAAUUAGACCACAAUGAGAGUAUGCACACUUUUGGAAAAAGGUGUAUCUGAUGUCUUGUCCUUGUUGCCUAAGCUCUCUGAAGUACAGAAAAGCAGUAGAGUUUUAAACACAUCUUCAAGGUAGGCAAAGUAUACAAACAUGAGCCACUUGUGCAUGGAUUAGGCCUCGCUCUCGCCAUGUACAGAUCAUAUGCGUGUCCUACCAAACUCACCUCGAGUCUCUGUUGUCAGUGGGCUCCUGACAUUCAGCAGGAGGAGAGACAACACUGGAAAGCAGGCGACUCCUUCAGACCCUGUGGGGCAGCGUGGCUUGUGUGUCCUUGGCUCUGCACCGCCCUGCAGGAACAAGUGAUCCCACUGGAUAGGGCCCGGGAUGGAGCACACAUAGGCAGGUGGUUGGGCCUGGAAGACUUUGGAUGCAUCAAGCUCUAGGUUUCCAUUCUGUGUUGGUGUUCAUACAUCACCAUUGCUUUCAACUUAGGGCUGCUGCUGAACAGGACCAAUGUCCACACGGGAUUACCAUCUACACCUCCCCAGCCCCAACGUGUG